GAGUUUGAUCUUGGCUCAGGAUGAACGCCGGCGGCGUGCCUAACACAUGCAAGUCGAACGGAGUUCUUAAGGAAUGCGGCUUCGGCCAAAUGACUUUUGAACUUAGUGGCGGACGGGUGAGUAACGCGUGAGCAACCUGCCUUUCAGAGGGGGAUAACAUUUGGAAACAGAUACUAAUACCGCAUAAGAUUACAGUACCGCAUGAUACAGUGAUCAAAGGAGCAAUCCGCUGAAAGAUGGGCUCGCGUCCGAUUAGAUAGUUGGUGAGGUAACGGCUCGCCAAGUCGACGAUCGGUAGCCGGACUGAGAGGUUGAACGGCCGACAUUGGGACUGAGACACGGCCCAGACUCCUACGGGAGGCAGCAGUGGGGAAUAUUGCACAAUGGGCGAAAGCCUGAUGCAGCAACGCCGCGUGAGGGAAGACGGUUUUCGGAUUGUAAACCUCUGUUUUCGGUGACGAACAAAUGACGGUAACCGAGUAGGAAGCCACGGC
rnacentral:rRNA from 1 species